AUGGAAGAUGGUGAGAGGAGUAUGAGAGCAGUGGCGGUACAAGGAGUAUUGGAGGGAGAUGCGUUAUUGUUGUUGGACAUGGAAUGGAUGGUAUGUGAAAAACAAAGAUGGAGAGUUGAAUCGGUUUUCAAAGAUUGUGAGUUGAAGUUAUCGUGA